rnacentral:lncRNA from 1 species
CUUCCUCUUUAAUUGAAACCCAAAAUUAAAAUGCUUCCAAGGCGGUGAAUUACUUUCUCCAAUUAAAAAUAAAAGCUAUCCAUGUACAUUAUUGAAUUAAAAACUAAAGACAACAUUGUUUCAUGAGUGCAGCGUUUGUAAAUGAAAUAAAAUUUGAAAUACCAUUCAUCCACAAUCCAACAGAGCAAACAUGGUUCCGAUAAAAGCUAUAUAAAAAAAAAUUCAAAGCAAAGUCUCCAAAGUGGCGGCUCUACCUUGGGAUUGAAAAACCAAAAAGAAAACCUACAUUCUACUCACUGUUUUAUUCAUUCACCGUGGCUGGGAACUUUUCCAUUUUUCAUCCAAAAUCCAUCGAGGUCAGCAUUUUCAAAGAAAAAUAAUCUCUCUCCAAAAUGUUCCAGCCAGCCAAAAAUUUGAUGGGUGUCGCGGCCCAUACAAAUUUGAUUGCAUAUGAGAAAUGCAGUAUAGCUAGGAAGUGACUCCUAGGUCGUCUCUCAAGGACCAAACUGAGGUUCGAGAAUCAGGUCAAACACAAAGUGGGGGGGUUGUGAAAGGUUUGUGACUGCAGAUGAAUUAAAUUAAAACGCGGAUGCAAACACAAAAGCAAACACAGAUGUAAAAAUGAAAUCAAAUACAGAAUAGAAACGGUUGGUCAUUAACUCAAUAACUAUGCUUCCAAUCACAGAUCGUCGACAAGUACACACUACUCUAAUCCAAAUCCGAAACGAAUCACCCAACUAAGCGAAGGAUAGUUCGGUCUUCAAAAUUACAGACUAAGCGAAUGCAA